CCUACGGGAGGCAGCAGUGGGGAAUAUUGCACAAUGGGGGAAACCCUGAUGCAGCGACGCCGCGUGAGUGAAGAAGGAUUUCUGUAUUGUAAACUCUAUCAGCAGGGAAGCAAAUGACGGUACCUGAUUCAGAAGCCCCGGCUAACGACGUGCCAGCAGCCGCGGUAAUACGUAGGGGGCAAGCGUUAUCCGGAUUUACUGGGUGUAAAGGGAGCGUAGGCGGCAGUACAAGUCUGGAGUGAAAUGCCGGGGCUUAACCCCGGAACUGCUGUGGAAACUGUGCCGCUAGAGUGCAGGAGAGGUAAGCGGAAUGCCUAGUGUAGCGGUGAAAUGCGUAGAUAUUAGGAGGAACACCAGUGGCGAAGGCGGCUUACUGGACUGUAACUGACGUUGAGGCUCGAAAGCGUGGGGAGCGAACAGGAUUAGAUACCCGGGUAGUC
rnacentral:rRNA from 1 species